AUCACACCAUGGCAAGACCACUCAUUAUGAUUCCUGAUUUGAAGCAAGGUAAUAAUGUUUGGAAGAUGGUGAUUCACGUGGUUGGUAUGUGAAUUGUUAAGGAGCGGAAUAGACAACAACAUUUCGAAGAGGUUAUCCAAGAUAAUAAGGGCGACAAAAUCCAGUCGUUAUCCGACCUCGAGAUUUUGAGAUGUGGAAACAAAGAUUACAAGUAUAAAAUUGAAAUAGAGGUUGAGUAUGCAGGCAAGAUCGGGUGUUUCGUCUUUUGGGACAAGGAGUGUAUUAAAUAUGUUGGAAUAUUUGCACAUGAUUUAAGAGAAAUUAUGAAAAAG